rnacentral:tRNA from 2 species
GACGACGUAGCUCAGUGGAAGAACACAGGGUUAUGACUUGAGAAGCUGGUUCAAAUCCAGCCGUCGCCA